UGAUUGGGUUUCUGUUUAUAGUUUUGCGAAAAGACUUUGAAGAAUCUAGGUGGUAAUGCAAAAAUAGGUUAAUAAUCCAUCUGACACGUGUUUGGAUUUGGUGAACCGUGCUCAUGAGUCAGUCUUUUGAGUUGGCAAAAGGAGGCUUCUUGGAGAAUCAUCUUCGGAGUUGUUGUGUGUCUCAGAGAUUCAAGGUGAGUCUGAGAGCCUUGGAUCUACAAGUAUUGAUUCUUGGGAAACAUUCCUUCCUGUGUUGCUCUUUCUCUUCGCUAACCCAGAGUCGUGCUUGUGCUAUCUUCGUCCUAUUUCCCUUGAUCAUGCAACUCCUAAACCUUCUCUGUUUAUUAUCUAAAGUGAAGUGGAUCCUGGUUGCUCACUAUUUUUUUUGUAGCCUUGUCUGUCUUCACCUUGAGUUUCCCUUAGAGCAUUUGGAGCUUGAGAACUUAGUAGAAUGUUCUCGUGUCUUUUUAGUUCCUUUGGUUGCUGGUACAUCCUUCAGGCCAGAUUCAAAGAUGGAUAACUAAAGAGUACUCUUCAGGCUUUUAAUUCCUUUAGUAAAAAAUUCUGAUUCAUACUGAAGUAACAUUGGUGCAGAGAGGCAAUGGGAGGUAGGUCUGUCCUCUUUGGACACCGACCCAUCUUUUUUAACCCGGUUAUUCCAAUUUUUUACGUCAGUCCCAAACGUUGUUUGAUAGUCUUUACCUUGCUUUUACGAUAGGUUGGGGAUAUCCGGUUUAAACCGGAUAUGUUUUCCCAGAUUUCAAGAACUGAAGUGAGCGAAGCUUUUCUUUCUGUACGAAGGCUCCAUCAACCAAGAGGGCCGUGUUUAGUUUUUAUAAUUUGUAAAUCUUCUUGUUUUGAUGUUACUUGCCUCUUGGAGAAAGCUUAUUGGAGUCGUUUCAUAACUGGAUUGUCUUGGUGAUGAUUGGAUUGGUCUAUUGCAGGUUACAUAAGCUUUUCCAUCAGUUCGUAAUGGAGGGGGUACAUUUCAACCUUCGAUCUCGGUUUAUCUCUUCAUCCAUCUCGAGUUUUAGCUUCAAAUUCAUUUUUUGGUUUUUUUCUUAAAAUCACUUCAAAAGCUUCGUUCUGAUUUAGUUUUUUUUUCUCUAGUUCUGAUGAUAAUGGUAUGAUUUCUCUGAUGAUAAUGGUAUGAUGUGAUUUAUUCCUCUCCAG
rnacentral:lncRNA from 1 species